rnacentral:misc_RNA from 1 species
GAAAUGCGAUAAGUAGUGUGAAUUGCAGAAUUCAGUGAAUCAUCGAAUCUUUGAACGCACAUUGCGCCCCUUGGUAUUCCAUGGGGCAUGCUUGUUCGAGCGUCAUUUGUACCCUCAAGCUCUGCUUGGUGUUGGGUGUUUGUCCCCGUCUCCGCGCGUGGACUCGCCCCAAAGUGAUUGGCAGCCAGCGUACUGGUCCCGGAGCGCAGCACAUGUCGCGCAAACGAGUGCCUUGGUACGGCGGCGUCCAUAAGCCCCUCUCUCACGCUCUUGACCUCGGAUCAGGUAGGGAUACCCGCUGAACUUAAGC